AUAAAAUAAAAGGAUCCCUCUCAGUUUAGGAGGACUGUCCUAAGAAUAGGGCUGGCUCUUAAAGGCACGAGAGGAAAAA